GCACUGCAUUUCAAAAUUCAAAAAUUCAGAUCUCUCUCCAUGGUUUUCUUUGCCUGGCGGUACCGAAGCUCAGCACCGUCAGCGGAGUAAACGCAAAAACUUUGCUCGCAAUACAAACAGAGAAACCGCCGUUAGAGACUGUUCAUCUGUUUCCAAAAACCGAAGCUCGAUCCCUUCGCAGUUACUUAUCAAAGAUGGCUGUCGUAGCUUAUGGCCGUUGCCGGGGUAGAAAACAGCGAUUGGGCUCAUCACCGUCGAGCAGCAGAGAUGAAGGAUAACAAUGCAGAAGUGAUGUUGGCUGUUGAUGCAGCAGCGAGGCAGUGGCGAGUGGUGUUCCUACCAACAGUGAAGAACGAGUAGGUGGAAGCAAGUUGAUGACACGGUGAAGAGAACGAGAGCUCUGAGAUCCUAGCAUCGACGGUGUUGCAGAGAAGCUAAGGAGGAAUAAUAAGGAAAAUCAGAAUCGAGCAGAGUAGAUGUAAAGACUGAAUGGUUUUAAUUUUCUUUGAUUUGGUGACUCAAUGUUGCUGCAUCAAGAUUCGGAUACCAUGAAUUAGACUUUGUAGUACUCUUUUGUUUAUUUGACAGGAUGAAUUCAUGGAGGGUUUGUUUUCUUCUACUAAAUAGAGCUGGAAUUUUGAGUAAUUAAUCAUUAAAUUCUGCUGCAUGUGCAGCCUGCAACUGAACACUAUUUAAAUCCAAAGACAUGGUUUUUUCAUGUUCUCUUCAAGGUUUGGUUUAUCUUAUUAUGAUCUCUUUUCAUAUCCUCCUAUCAGGCUAUGAGCGAGAUUUAUUUCCUAAAUUCUUCAAUAGUAUAUUUUGUUAAAAAUUAUUUCGGCAGCCAUGUUUGUAAUUUUUUAAGAUACCUACAUAAACAGGGUACUUAUUGUUGUUAUAAGAAUGAGAAACAUGCAACACUUUGAAUAAUAUAUGGGCAGAACAGCUAUAGAGAAGUAAAAAUUUAUUUCCUUUCAAUAAAUUUACAAACUUGAAUCUUUGGAUGAUGUAGCUUCUGAAUAUAUUACAAGCUAAUUAUAACUAUCAGCAAUGAAUAGUUGGGCAUACCAUAGACUUAUUCUUCAUUUCUUAAUGGAGAUUUGUAAUGCAGAUUUCUAAAAUGGUGCAAUUCUCUUGGAGAAUUCCCAAUUUCCCAUACUUUGAUUAUUGACCAGGUUAAAAGAAAUCAUGCUUUCAUGUUCAGCUCUGUAAAGAAUGUAAUCAAUACUGCAAUGCAUCAAAAUUGAAAAUGGACAUCAGCUCCAAGAGUUCUCAAAGGCAAAUUUGACUGUCUUUUAUUUGGUUUGGUGUGUGGCUCCUAUUUUCUGCUAAUAAGAGAACAUAUCAGACAUGUGUGGCUCCUAUUUUCUCCUACUGGGAUUCUGGUAACUCUAAAAGAGCGACGCUUUUUUGAACUUUAGCAACCUGGAUGUUGUAUACUGGUCUGAGACUUUAGCUCUCGUCUUGGUGGACGAAAUUGUGAUCACUUGUUAUUUUGUUUAUAAAGGAUGUAUACUCUUAUGGCACUGUUUAUUUUCUUCACAACUCCGUUCAACUAACCAGCAAGUGUACUGGGUCGUCCAAGUAAUAACCUUACGUGAGUAAGGGUCGAAUCCACAGAGAUUGUUGGUAUGAAGCAAGCUAUGGUCACCUUGUAAAUCUCAGUUAGGCUGAUUGAACAUUUGUAAUAGUGAUAAUUGGAUUGUUCUAAUAAAAAGGAAUAAUAAAAGGGAUAGAGAUACUUAUGCAGAUUCAUUGGUGGGAAUUUCAGAUAAGCGGAAUGGAGAUGCUGUAGAGCUCUCGGACGCCUGCCUUCCCAUUGCUUCUACUCAAUCCUUCUUACUCCUUUCCAUGGCAAGCUUUGUAUAGGGGUUCACUAUCAGCUGUGGCUACUUUCAUUCCUCUCGGGGAAAUAACCUGUGCGGCUGUCACUCGCACAGCUAACCAGUCUGGAGGCAUCACCCAUGGUUGAUAGCUACAUCCCAUCCUCGCAGUGAAAGCUAAUGCACGCACUCUGUCACAGUACGGCCAAUCACCGGUUGGUUCCCGCUCCUACUGGAAUAGAAUCCCUCUUUUGCGUUUGUCACUAACGCCCAGCAGGUUAAAGUUUGAAGCACGUCACAGUCAUUCAUGAACGGAAUCCUACUCAGAAUACCACAGACAAGGUGAGACCUUCCGGAUUCCCAGGACCCUACUCGGAACACCACAGACAAGGUUGGACUUUCCGGAUCCAGAUGAAUGCCGCCAUCUAUCUAGCUUAUACCACGAAGAUUCUGUUGGGGAAUCUAAGAGAUACACAUUCAAGCUUCUUUGCAUGUAGAACGUAAGUGGUUGUCAAUCACGCGCGUUCAUGAGUGAGAAUAAUAAUGAGAGUUAUUAACUCAUCACAUUCAUCAUGUUCUUGAGUACGAAUGAAUAUCUUGGAAUAAGAAUAAGAGAGGAAUUGAAUAAAAGAAAAUAGGACUUCAUUAAUCUUUGAGGUACAGCAGAGCUCCACACCCUUAAUCUAUGGUGUGCAGAAACUCCACCGUUGAAAAUACAUAAGCAAAAGGUUCAGGCAUGGCCGAAUGGCCAGCCCCCUAAACGUGAUCACUAGAUCAAAAUACAAUCCAGGAUGUCUAAUACAAUAGUAAGAGGUCCUAUAUAUACUAGACUAGCUACUAGGGUUUACAUGAGUAAGUAAUUGAUGCAUAAAUCCACUUCCGGGGCCCACUUGGUGUAUGCUUGGGCUGAGCUUGAUCUAUCCACGAGCUGAGGCUUCUCUUGGAGUUGAAUUUCGAGUUGUGAUGUGCUUUGGGCGUUCAACUCCGGAUUAUGACGUUUCUCUGGCGUUUAACUCCAGAAAGGAGCGUGUACUUGGCGUUCAACGCCAGUUUGCGUCGUCAUUCUUCGAAUAAAGUAUGGACUAUUAUAUAUUGCUGGAAAGCCCUGGAUGUCUACUUUCCAACGCCGUUGAGAGCGUGCCAAUUGGAGGUCUGUAGCUCCAGAAAAUCCAUUUCGAGUGCAGGGAGGUCAGAAUCCAACAGCAUCAGCAGUCCUUUUGUCAGCCUUUUUCA